GAUGAACGCUGGCGGCGUGCCUAAUACAUGCAAGUCGAGCGAACAGACGAGAGUGCUUGCACUCUCUGCCGUUAGCGGCGGACGGGUGAGUAACACGUGGGUAACCUACCUAUAAGACUGAGAUAACUUCGGGAAACCGGAGCUAAUACCGGAUAAUAUUUAGCUUCGCAUGAAGCAAUAGUGAAAGACGGUUCUGCUGUCACUUAUAGAUGGACCCGCGGUGUAUUAGCUAGUUGGUGAGGUAACGGCUCACCAAGGCAACGAUACAUAGCCGACCUGAGAGGGUGAUCGGCCACACUGGAACUGAGACACGGCCCAGACUCCUACGGGAGGCAGCAGUAGGGAAUCUUCCGCAAUGGACGAAAGUCUGACGGAGCAAUGCCGCGUGAGUGAAGAAGGUUUUCGGAUCGUAAAACUCUGUUGUAAGGGAAGAACAAGUACGUUAGUAACUGAACGUACCUUGACGGUACCUUACCAGAAAGCCACGGCUAACUACGUG
rnacentral:rRNA from 1 species